CACGUAGGGCGCGAGCGUUGUCCGGAAUUGUGGGGCGUAAAGAGCUCGUAGGCGGCCUGUUGCGUCCGCUGUGAAAGCCCGGGGCUUAACCCCGGGUCGGCAGUGGAUACGGGCAGGCUAGAGGUAGGUAGGGGAGAAUGGAAUUCCCGGUGUAGCGGUGAAAUGCGCAGAUAUCGGGAAGAACACCCGUGGCGAAGGCGGCUCUCUGGAACGCAACUGACGCUGAGACGCGAAAGCGUGGGGAGCAAACAGG
rnacentral:rRNA from 1 species